ensembl:lncRNA
CACCGUUAGGUCAUAUUUCACUAAUGAAUCAAAGAAGAAAUGAGUUUGCAUGAAGAAAAUUCUUCUUUUUUAACGUUGUUUACAAUUACAUACAUUGUUUGUUUGUUGUGAUAUUAAUUUCAUGAGACUUCAACACUUGCAUUAAUGGUACAGAUGUAUAACCCCCCACAUACACACACACACAUGUGCGCUUGUUUUGUGCUAUUCACCCGUACGUUCAUUCUUGACUGUUUUAAAGUGUUUUAAAGUGAAGCCCGGUCGCUGUCUGCGGAGUCGUGCUUCACUUGAGCUGUAAAUUAGCUAAUUAGCUGCAUAAUUGGCCGAAUUAAAGCUCCAAUCAGUGAAGCUUUUGCUGUCAGAGGUCCUCCAGGUAACUUAAAUCAGCUGUCGCUCGAGACUCUGAAAGGAAGACAAAUUUGCCCAGCCGAGCGAGUAAUGACCCGAGCCUUGAGCAAGGAGGUCUGAGGAAAGCAAACAAAAGAGCUUUGAUUAGCGCAAAGGCCUCUUCAUACGCUGCAGAAGAGCAGCUUCGUUACUGUGUGUUUUCCUCUCAGAUGCAUCCGUCUGCUGCCUGCUGUGAGCUGGACGAGACGCAUCAGGUCACCUGUGCUUCAGAUCACUCUUCAGCUGUUUGGACUCUCAUUCUGACGGCACCCAUUCACUGCAGAGGAUCCAUUGGUGAGCAAGUGAUGUAAUGCUACAUUUCUCCAAAUCUGAUGAAGAAACAAACUCAUCUGCAUCUUGGAUGGCCUGAGGAUGAGCACAUUUUCAUUUCUGGGUGACCUAUUCCUUUAGGUCCUAAAGCAGAGCAACUGCAUGCAAAGCAAAUCGAGUCAUUUUUCCUGCUGGUUUUAUAUGAAGGCCGCAACUCACUAAGCCCUACAGGAAAUCAAAUCUGUUUAAUCUCAAGCCCUCCACCCCAUCUCUUUCCACCGGCUGUUUUUGUCUCUCUUAUCACCUCAGAGUCAAUUACCUGAUCACACGGGUCGGUAAGGUACAGCUGUCGGAGGAAGACACAAGCUUUGGAUCUGAUAUGAGGUUCCAUCAGUUUUUCCGCGGGUCAAACGGGAGGCCACACAUCUUCUGUCAGCUACAGCUAAAGCUCUGCUAAUUACUCCUAGAUACCGAAGCCCAAAACAGCUGAAUACAUGGAGGAAUUCAGCAAAUGGUUAGUUUGUGGAAACCAUUUUUAGCAUAAUGGCUUCAGGGUUGAAGGCUCUUGAUGGGUAAUGACCUCUUGUACCGCUUUAGAAACAUACAGAUCUUCUAUUUGUAGAUAUUUUCUUCUUUUUCGUCCAUCAAUCUUUCAAUUACAUUUUUUAUAGAGCUCUGAGAGGAUGUGGGUCAUGGACAGUGCAAAAAAAAGUCACAGGACCUUAGAUCUCAUCCGCUAGGACUUAAAAGGCAUCUGUAGACCCUUGAGAAACUUCCUGAAUCCUUGAGUUUUACCAUCAAACCAAUGUGUAUUCAAAGGUUUUGCAGAUUUUAUGUAAAAAAAUAAAUAAAUAAAAAAUAGUUUGUUCUUUUGCGAC